AGAAUGAACGUUGGCGGCGUGGAUUAGGCAUGCAAGUCGAGCGCGAACCGUAGCAAUACGGGGAAAGCGGCGAAAGGGACAGUAAUGGGUAGAUAUCUGCCCUCGGGUUCGGGAUAGCUGGCGGGAAACUGCAGGUAAUACCGAAUAACAUCUCCGGAUCAAAGGUGUGAUUCCGCCUGAGGAUGAGUCUGCCUCCUAUUAGCUAGUGGUAGGUACGCCUACAAGGCCAUGAGUGGGUAGCGGGUGUGAGAGCGACGACCCGCGUCAGUUGGGACUGAGACACUCGACCCAGACCACCGUACGGGUGGCUGCAGUCGAG
rnacentral:rRNA from 1 species